AAAAAAAAAAUGGCCAAAUGGCCCUCAGCUGAACACUCCAGAAACUGGUACCAACCCUCAGGUGGACAAACGGAAGUGCAACACAGCCACAUGUGCCACACAACGUCUGGCAAACUUCUUGGUUCGCUCCAGCAACAACCUUGGUCCAGUCCUCCCACCAACCAAUGUGGGAUCCAAUACAUAUGGGAAGAGGAAUGUGGCAGAGGAUCCAAAUAGGGAAUCCCUGGAUUUCUUACUCCUGUAAAGUCAAUGUACUCCCGUAUCUCUUAUUACUUCCUGUGUAAAUGCUCUGAUGAUUUCCUGAAUAAUGUAACAGUGCCUUUGCCAUUCCCGCCCAAGUGAGAAUGUACAACAACGUGCCUGUGCUUGCUGUGUUUGUAAAUUCUUAUUCUAAGACGUGCUUUAAACUGAGUGUUGAUAAAGGUCAGGGUGAAUACCUCUCUAAUCACAACAUGUUCUUGGCUGUACAUCGAUAUCGUAGGAACACUUAAAAUUUCUGUUUUUACCUUGUAACUCUAUGACUCAAGUUUAACAAUAAAGGAGGGCGUGGGAUGGUGGACUUGAAAAGUCAUUAACAGCUCAUAGUAAAUUUCUGAUUCUAGACAUUGGAAAGCAAGCAUUCUAAAUACCUGCUAAGAUGACAUUUCAAAAUAAAUUAGCAAAAUCUUGUACUUAUUUAAUUAAACUUUUUAAUUCUAUUUCUUGUUGUCCUUGUUGGUAGUAAGAGGCUGUUUUAAAGGAUAAAGGUUGUUUGUAUCCACGAGGAGUUUAUUGUUUCUUUUUCUCUGUAGAGAGCUUUAAUGACAUGUUUAUUCUGCUAAGGAAUCUUUCAGCAAAACUCAAACAUAAUUGUAUCCAGCAGAAGGAUCCUGUCUUCUAUUCUGAAUGCCUUAAAGAUUUGUGGAAACUAGAAACCAAACCUGUAUGCCAACUUAUUCUCUUGGCUCAGUCGUGGACAAAUAGAAGAAUGGCAUGACUGUCGUCUGCACACGUGCGUGAUAUGUUUGAUGGACAUGUGGGGGCACAUAUGUGCUGAAGUAUGUAUGUGGGGGUCAGAGUACAAUACUCAGUGUCAGUCUUCGCCAUCUA
rnacentral:lncRNA from 1 species